rnacentral:siRNA from 1 species
ACCCUGUUAGUCGACGAUGGCA